GACGAACGCUGGCGGCGUGCCUAAUACAUGCAAGUCGAGCGAGUCUGCCUUGAAGAUCGGAGUGCUUGCACUCUGUGAAACAAGAUACAGGCUAGCGGCGGACGGGUGAGUAACACGUGGGUAACCUGCCCAAGAGAUCGGGAUAACACCUGGAAACAGAUGCUAAUACCGGAUAACAACAGAUGAUGCCUAUCAACUGUUUAAAAGAUGGUUCUGCUAUCACUCUUGGAUGGACCUGCGGUGCAAUAGCUAGUUGGUAGGGUAACGGCCUACCAAGGCGAUGAGUCAUAGCCGAGUUGAGAGGCUGAUCCGCCACAUUGGAACUGAGACACGGCCCAAACUCCUACGGGAGGCAGCAGUAGGGAAUCUUCCACAAUGGACGCAAGUCUGAUGGAGCAACGCCGCGUGAGUGAAGAAGGGUUUCGGCUCGUAAAGCUCUGUUGUUGGUGAAGAAGGACAGGGGUAGUAACUGACCUUUGUUUGACGGUAAUCAAUGAGAAAGUCACGGCUAACUACGUG
rnacentral:rRNA from 1 species